CCUGCCUGCACCUUCCUGACCUGAAUGAAGCCUUCAGGCUAGAGAUCAAUCCCUUGUCUGAUGUGUAGCUGGCAACGCAUUUCUCCCCCACUGUGGGCUCUCCGGCUCACUCUGUUGAAAGUUUAUUUUGCUAUUCAGGAGCCUUCGAAUUUCAGGCCCUUAUCUUUCUGUCCCACCUGUCACAAGACCUUCUGUGAUGAUGACCUUCCUGUUCUAUAAAGUCACCAGCGAUAACAUGGGGCAAAUGGACAAAUGAGGCUCCACUGAAGGAUCCUAACCCCGGUUGGGGGGGGGGGGGCUGUGUGAGAGGUGAGGAGUAAGGAGUGGUGCCUUGGGGUUCUUGACUGUGAAGAUGUUUGAGAACCAGCUGCACCGUCGUGUCAAGCCCCAGGUGAUCUGCAGCUCAGACUCUUUGAUAGAGUCCAUGUUCAUGUGCCCAGCUGCUGACCUAGUUUCUGUCUCCUUCCCUUCCUACCUUGCAGCCAUAAAGGGCCUAACCCUGUUCCCUUCAUCUUCUGCUUCUGCAUAAAUUGAUUCUUUGUGAAGAGGCUAACUAAGGACCAAGUCCUGAACAGUCCCUUAGAUUGCCUAUCCUUGAGUUUCUCCUGUGUAUGCAUUGCUUAUGUAAACAGAGAGAAAGCGUUUUCUUCCCUGUAAUGUACAUCAAAUGCAAUUACUUACACAAACAUACAUGUGCAAUAAAGAUAUCAAAA